rnacentral:rRNA from 1 species
UACGAGGGGGGCAAGCGUUGUUCGGAAUUAUUGGGCGUAAAGGGUGCGUAGGCGGUGCGGUAAGUCUGUUGUGAAAUCUCCGGGCUCAACUCGGAGUCUGCAUCAGAAACUGCCGUGCUGGAGUGUGGGAGAGGUGAGUGGAAUUCCCGGUGUAGCGGUGAAAUGCGUAGAGAUCGGGAGGAACACCUGUGGUGUAGACAGCUUACUGGACCACUUCUGACGCUGAGACACGAAAGCGUGGGUAGCAAACAGG